ensembl:miRNA
GUGAGGACUGGGGAGGAGGAGCACCUGGCUCCCUCAGUCACAGCUCGGUCUCAGCUCCUCUACCC